rnacentral:rRNA from 1 species
CACGUAGGGGGCAAGCGUUAUCCGGAUUUACUGGGCGUAAAGAGCGCGCAGGCGGUCGUUCAAGUCGCGUGUGAAAGCCCCCGGCUCAACUGGGGAGGGUCACGCGAUACUGAUCGACUCGAAGGCAGGAGAGGGUAGUGGAAUUCCCGGUGUAGUGGUGAAAUGCGUAGAUAUCGGGAGGAACACCAGUGGCGAAGGCGACUACCUGGCCUGUUCUUGACGCUGAGGCGCGAAAGCUAGGGGAGCAAACGGG